rnacentral:rRNA from 1 species
GACGAACGCUGGCGGCGUGCUUAACACAUGCAAGCCGAGCGGUAAGGCCCUUUCGGGGGUACACGAGCGGCGAACGGGUGAGUAACACGUGGGUGACCUGCCCUCAGCUCUGGGAUAAGCCUGGGAAACCGGGUCUAAUACUGGAUAUGACUCCAUGACGCAUGUUGUGGGGUGGAAAGCCUUGUGCGGCUGAGGAUGGGCCCGCGGCCUAUCAGCUUGUUGGUGGGGUGANGGCCUACCAAGGCGACGACGGGUAGCCGGCCUGAGAGGGCGACCGGCCACACUGGGACUGAGACACGGCCCAGACUCCUACGGGAGGCAGCAGUGGGGAAUCUUGCGCAAUGGGCGAAAGCCUGACGCAGCGACGCCGCGUGAGGGAUGACGGCCU